rnacentral:misc_RNA from 1 species
GAAAUGUGAUAAGUAAUGUGAAUUGCAGAAUUCAGUGAAUCAUCGAAUCUUUGAACGCACAUUGCGCCCGCCAGUAUUCUGGCGGGCAUGCCUGUCCGAGCGUCAUUUCAACCAUCAAGCCCCCGGGCUUGUGUUGGGGACCUGCGGCUGCCCGCAGGCCCUGAAAACCAGUGGCGGGCUCGCUGUCACACCGAGCGUAGUAGCAAUCACCUCGCUCAGGGCGUGCUGCGGGUUCCGGCCGUUAAACAGCCUUACAAAACCCAAGGUUGACCUCGGAUCAGGUAGGAAGACCCGCUGAACUUAAGC